AUUGAACGCUGGCGGCAGGCUUAACACAUGCAAGUCGAGCGGGGUGAUGGUGCUUGCACUAUCACUUAGCGGCGGACGGGUGAGUAAUGCUUAGGAAUCUGCCUAUUAGUGGGGGACAACAUUUCGAAAGGGAUGCUAAUACCGCAUACGUCCUACGGGAGAAAGCAGGGGAUCACUUGUGACCUUGCGCUAAUAGAUGAGCCUAGGUCGGAUUAGCUAGGUGGUGGGGUAAAGGCCUACCAAGGCGACGAUCUGUAGCGGGUCUGAGAGGAUGAACCGCCACACUGGGCCUGAGACACGGCCCAGACUCCUACGGGAGGCAGCAGUGGGGAAUAUUGGACAAUGGGCGGAACCCUGUUCCAGCCAUGCAGGGUGUGUGAAGAAGGCAUUAUGGUUGUAAAGCACUUUAAGCGAGGAGGAUGCUCUUUUGGUUAAUACCCAAGAUGAGUGGACGUUACUCUCAGAAUAAGCACCGGCUAACUCUGUGCCAGCCGCCGCGGUAA
rnacentral:rRNA from 1 species